rnacentral:hammerhead_ribozyme from 1 species
GCACUGCUGAGGAGUCCCACGAGAGGACGAAAGGGCCGUCCAGUGU